rnacentral:rRNA from 1 species
GAUGAACGCUAGCGACAGGCUUAACACAUGCAAGUCGAACGGCAGCAUAAGAGAGCUUGCUCUCUUGAUGGCGAGUGGCGAACGGGUGAGUAAUGUAUCGGAACGUGCCCAGUAGCGGGGGAUAACUACGCGAAAGCGUAGCUAAUACCGCAUACGCCCUACGGGGGAAAGGAGGGGAUCCGCAAGGACCUUUCACUAUUGGAGCGGCCGAUAUCGGAUUAGCUAGUUGGUGAGGUAAGGGCUCACCAAGGCGACGAUCCGUAGCUGGUUUGAGAGGACGACCAGCCACACUGGGACUGAGACACGGCCCAG